AUAUAUUUAGAGAGUCACGACACUCCCAUAGAGAUCCAUUAUACGAUUUUACUUCCGGGUACUUCCGGGUUAUGGAGCCUUGGAUAGUUACAAACAUCGCAUUUGACAUGGCGGACACCAUUCAUUUGAACGGCAGGCUGUCAAGUAUAUUCGGAGAGGCCCUUUGUGACAUACACUUAUCUGUGCGUAUUGGAAGACAACCGGCUUUUAUGUGCUUCUUUGAUGCACAUGGAUUGAAUUCUCAAUCGCAGCCUAAUCUGCUCCACAACAUUGGAGGAUUCCAUGAGGGAAUCAUUUGUUGCCAAACGGAACAGAUGCUCGACAUCCUUUAAGAGAGUGAAGACCUCAUCCGAUGGCCGGUGCUUCAACCAAUGCACACUGGCAUUGGUUGCAGAGUGAGAAGCUGAUGACCCUCUUCACUAUGCAUCCUGCCAGAUGUUGCCAUUUUGCCUGACAGCGUGGUCCCUGGUGCAUCUGGGCCUAGUGUUGUGGCGCCACCGCUGGUUCCUGAUUGGUCGGCACCCGGCUCAUCCACCCCUGGAUCACCUGGCCUGGAUACGUCAUUGUCAUUGUGCUCACUUUCGCCCAACCUUCCCACCUCAAUUUCUCCCUGAAUGUCUGUAACAAUAACAAGGCAUUCUUAAUUUUAUAUGCAGUCAGUGUUUUUACAUUUGCACCUAUUGUCAUCUCCAAAGUAAAGGUA